UACGGGGGGAGCAAACGUUGUUCGGAAUCACUGGGCGUAAAGGGCGUGUAGGCGGCUGAAUAAGUGGGAUGUUAAAUCCCCCGGCUCAACCGGGGACCUGCAUCUCAUACUGUUCAGCUCGAGCACAUCAGAGGAGACUGGAAUUCCCGGUGUAGCGGUGGAAUGCGUAGAUAUCAGGAGGAACACCUGUGGCGAAGGCGGCUUUCUGGGCCUUACCUGACGCUGAGACGCGAAAGCGUGGGGAGCGAACAGG
rnacentral:rRNA from 1 species